UCGCAAAAUGGCCGCCGCGCCGAAUCUCUGACAUUUCGGGAUCUUGACAUCUUUACCGCCCUCCUCCUCCUCUCCGACGGCCUAGAAGGUCCGGUCCACAAGGCGACUGCCUCGGUACUGCCCUCCAGACCAGGUGGGGAGCAGCUGUCACCGGGAGAACAAGGUUGAAGACAUUAAAGCCUGUAACCAGAAGGUGAUUGCCUUUAUGUAUUUUAUGUGGCCAUCUCCAGACGGCACUUUGUUGGAAGAUCUGCCUGCAGACGUUUGCAUUAUUCUGGAUUUCUUCUAACUACAGCCACUUGGACAUUGCCAUGUUUCGACGUCAGGAUCUGCCUGGAAUGCAUGUACGUGAAUCAUUUACCCACCCCGGUUUUUGCGAUCCAUUUUUUCUGGAUGAACAAAAUAUCAAGAAAAUGAUGCGUCCAGUCACAAACAGCAAUGUGGCUUUUUGUGGAAGCGGCAAGUCUUCCUGCCUUGGUCAAGAGAGCAUGAGAAGUGUGGAGCAGUUUAGCUUGUAUGCCUCUCAGCCAAGUAAAUACAGCCAUACUGUUAGCCACAAGAACAUCUCCUGCCAGACACAGGAAACCAUCAAUGAGGCACAUUUGCAGACCACGAGCAGCAGGGACCUGGACACAAAAAGUGAUUUAAAGAAAAAGAAGACCCUUGGAAGAUCCGGAAAACGGGGAAGGCCAUCUGGCACCACCAAAUUGGCAGGUUACAGAACCAGCACUGGCAGACCGCUGGGAACCACCAAAGCUGCUGGCUUUAAAACAAGUCCUGGCAGACCAUUGGGCACAACCAAAGCCGCCGGAUACAAAGUCAGCCCAGGGAGACCUCCAGGUAGCAUAAAAGCUCUAUCACGGCUUGCAAAUCUAGGUUACACAAGCAACAAUGCUGCUUUUCCUUACCCCACAGCACUUAGCAGGGGACUCCAUUCUGUUGUGGAUACAAAUGUCAAACAUCCUGUUGAGUAGACGUAUGCAACAGAUUAUGUAUAUGUAUGCAAAAAUACAUAGGAGGAAGUAAAAAAAUGCUUGGAUGACCACGUGGGUUUCUCUAAAAUUUAGGCCAGACACCUUAUUGUCUGCCAUAUUCACAAUUUUACAAGAAGAAAAAAGCAGCAAGCCUUCAUGUGUGCCAGCGAUGCAUAGGACACAAUGGUGCGGACUUAUACUUGUUCAUGUGUACAGUCUGGACCUUUAUUACGACACAUGCAACUAAGAAAAUGUCCUUCCCCACCUGACAUGCAGACCAUACUUACCAGUCAUUAUGCUCAACUGGAUGUCACCUCCUUGUUUGUCACCUCCACACAGCUGAAUGGAUUCAAAGCUUUGCAAUCUCUUUCCACUGAAAGCCUGCGGUCCUUUUCAGAUAUGUCUAUAUUUUGUACUACAGCACCCACCAUUGUGUUGUGAGCAUUACUGAUGUAUAUGUUAUGAUGGCGGAAUGGUCUUACUGUGUCUUCAGGGAAGCUCGGGGGACAGCACUUCUUUACACUCAGUGGGGCAGACUUAUUAAAGAAUUUGCUCCACUUUUAUGGCAUAAGAAAGUGGUGCACGCCGUAUCUGUGCUAUCACUUGCAUCAUUUUUAACUUUGACACUUUUGAAAAGUACAGAGGUAGAGGGUAGGGCAUAGCAGGAGAGGCAGGCAGGGUUAGCCAUGGGCCAACACGUUUACUAUCAUUUUGGCUGGAGUAGAUGUGAUUUCCUGGCACAGAAUUAACAGAUUUGGCGCAUUUCACUUCAGUGGACUUGAGACUAAUACUGGCGUAUGAAACUCUUCUUCCAGUGUUUCUAAAGAGGACCUGCCGCCUCUCCUGACCUCUUUUGUUUUAGUACUUGCUUGUAUUCCCCAUUCAAUAACAAUAUACAAUACUAUGCUGUGCCCUUCCUCUGUUAUUCCUCCUGGAAUUGUAUUAAUACAUUAACAACUACUGUUGGUUUUACCAUUCCCUUUUUUAAUAUAAUGUGUCCCUACACACUCUCAUGUUCCAACCAGUGCCAACAGAGGCCUAAAUCCUGCUGACGAGCAAUUCCAAGAGGAGUAGGGGAGGAAUAGUACAACGUAAAGUUGUAAGAGGAAAAACAAAUAUUUAUUAAAACAGAAGCCAUGUACUUUUUACUAUCUGCGGCCUGGCCAGGUGCACUGUCCACUUGCUUCUGUAUGUAAAUCAAGUGCAACCUUUUGGCAGCAACAUUGAAAAACAUAUGCAGAAUAUGGCUGUUAGAGCGUUUGAUUUCUCCUAAAUGAAACGUUUAUGGCUCUAUCAAGUCUGUAUAUGAGAGCUAAUAAAAAUCAUUGGUGCUUUCAGUCACAGGAUGAACAUACAUAUAAAAGUUCUCUCCAGUUUUGGUGCUGCAUGGUUUGUAGAUAUAUGAGGGCCUAUGGGAUUGGGUUAAACCAGAAGUCUCCGGACCAUCUUCCUAGGUCGUCAAAGGAAAUCUUUCACCAGCCCCCUCCAUAUCCAAGUGUUUGUAUAGACACAUAGCUGUGGUUUACCUGAUUAAAACACUUUCUUUUGUUGAUCUGAGGCCCGAUAUGCAAAUGAGGUCUUUGGUGCGAUAAGGGAGUCACCAUUGCUCUUAUUUCAUCCAAGCUGCACUCCUUUCUCUAGACAAACCCUCCUUUGAUUCACAGAACCAUGCAGAAGCAAAGCAGUGAGGGAGGGGCUGACUACAAAUGAGUGGAGCUUCGGUGGAACAAGAGCAAAGGUGACGCCCUCAUUGCAUCAAAGUCCUAAUAUAUAUACAGUGGCGAUCAAAAUUAAAGAAAAACACACAAUUUCCGAAAUGUCAAGGUCAUAGUGCAGUUCUAUGUGAAUAUGUCCUAACAUGAGUAAAAUAGCAGUAUUUUAAGAUUAUUUCAUAAAUUGUAUUUAUUCUAAAGAACAGAAUAAAAAUGUUAAUGAGAUAAAUGAAAAUGAACACUGAUCUAAAUUAGAGAAAACUUUCAGAUACCUGCAAGUUAUUGGUGUUAAUCUGGCAACUGGUGCUAAUUUCCUUAAUGAUCUGACAAAGCCUAACUUUCCAGUUUUCACUGACUUUGCCAAAAUGGUGUGCCGUUCCAAAGUGACUAAAACCUUCUGGCAGCAGGUUGUCCAGAUGAAGGCCAAAGGGGUGACCCUAUCAGCCAUUGCAAGAGAAGUUGGUCGUUCCAAGUCUGUGAUUUCUAGAAUAUUGCAUCUUUACAGCAUCACAAACUCAUUCAAGUCCCCCAAGAAGAAUGGUCGCCCUCGAAAUACAAAUGCAAGAGAGGACAGGAUAAUGCGGAGAAUCUCCAUGGGUUAUCGUUUCAACACUGCAGCUGGAAUUGCUCGCUAGUUCAGCACUGAACAGGGUAAUGAUCUGUCUUGUCAUACAGUGUCUCCACAUUUAGGAGCAUUUGGACUGAAAGCCCACUCUGCAGUGACCAAACCUCUCAUUAGCAGAAAGAAUCAAAAGGCUAGACUCACCUUUGCUGAGGAGCAUGUUGUGUGGACAGCGGAGAAGUGAUCCAGAGUUCAUUUUAGUGAUGAAAGCAAGUUUAAUUUAUUUGGGUCUUAUGGGAAACAUUAUGUUCGUCGACAAACUGGUGAAAGACUGAACCCAAAGUGUGUAAAGAAGUCGGUGAAAGAUGGAGGAGGAAGUAUCAUGGUUUGGGGAAUGUUUUCUGCAGCAGGAGUUGGAUCUCUCAUACAGCUACAUGGCAGAGUGACUGCAAGUGUGUAUCAGAAUCUUCUUCACCAACACAUGGUUCCUUUCUUGCGUUCAUCUCUAAAUCUGCCAGCAAUUUUCAUGCAGGACAAUGCCCCCCGUCACACAGCAAAACGGGUAAAGCAGUUCCUUGAAACUGAAAACAUUGAAACAAUGAAAUGGCCAGCCCAGAGUCCUGAUCUAAAGCCAAUAGAAAACCUCUGGAAAAUCCUUGGGGACAAAGUUAUGGUCAAGAAACCCACACCAGUCACAGAACUGUUAAAGAGACUGGAAGAAGAGUGGACCAAAAUCACACCAGAGCAGUGUGUGAGAGACUAGUGAUGUCCUGUGGCCGCAGAUGUGCUGGAGUCAUUCAAAGCAAGGGCCUGUACACUUCUACUGAUUUGGUGACUGUAGAAGAGCGUUUUAAUCAGGUGACAUACAGCUAUGCGUCUAUGCAAACAGUUGGAUAGGGAGGUCUCUGGUGACAGAUUCCCUUUAACGUUAAUCUUGGAGGGCGUGGAAGAACUUGGCUGAUAAACUUGGUGGAUAUUGAUGAUAUUACUUUUUAUUCCCUGUUUUUUUAUUUCUGUCAUCCAAAUAUUUUAAUGUGAAAUCUCAGUGAAUGCUGUAAAGAGCUGAUUAGAUGCUAUGUGAAAGUAUAUAUAAUGACUUAAUGCACAUUCACAGAUAAGCCUCUGAGCACAUUACCAAUGUAUAGUAAAUUUCCAUUUGUACUACAAUAUGAAUUAUGUCAUCAUUUCCUAUGUUCUCGUUGUGGAGUUGUGCGAGCUGUAAAUCAGGUAUGUAUGUGUCCGUGUACUGGAAGCUGGAAUAUCUUUUUUUAUGGGUCCAUAAUUGGUGAGUUAAUUAUGAUCAUGUAUAUUUCAUUUUGUUGUGCAUUCUGUUUAUAUUUCAUGUAAUAUACUUUUUUCCCUCCUAUUUUAAGGUAAAAGUUAUUAAAACAUCCCCGAUGAUGGCUAAUGUGUAUGAUGUAGAGUCUUUCAUUGUCUCUUCUCAUAGUAAAAGACGUAUAGAUGAAUGGCAGGAGGCACCACCACAUGGGGAGUUAUGUAUGUACACCUGAUUCUACUAAGACCAUGUCAUGUUUCUAGGAAACAUCAGUGUAGUGUCACACAUAACCCCAAGACAGCGGGCAUGCUGCCUGGGAGUUCUUGUAGUACCGCACACUGAGAUGGAGAUGUCAGGUUUAGGUAGGUGAUGGAGUGAACACAAGAAGCUCCGUUUUUGAAAGAUUCAGUUUCAGCUAGAGAGAGGACAUGAUGUUAGAGAUAGCGGACAGUCACUGGUGUUCUGAAGUACGGCAGGAAGAGGUAUAUAGUUGGGUGUUUUUAGGAUAGAGAUAGUACUGAGGCACUCAAAACCAAAUCUGCUGAUAGUGUGUAGAAAGAAAGAAAGAAGAAGGGAACAUAGGGCUGAUCCCUGAGAAAUCCCAGCAGCUUGAGGAGAAGCAGAGCCAGCAAAUGGUACACCUGAGAAAAUGGGUGUAUUAGUCUGAUUACACUAGUCCGUGCUACCUGUACAUUUUCAAGAUACAAAAUUGGCCACACUAGACACCUCAUUAAUGCAAUUAUAUGGGCAUGCAGUUACAAACCCCAGGAAGCAGUUUUUCUGACCAAAUGUAGUGAAAACCUAGCCUAAAAAAACUAAACUAAAAACUGUCUAAAAAGAAAAGAAAAAAACUAAUAAACUAUUGGUAUGUAGAGCCUUUAAAAUGAUCGCACAUUUGUUUGCUUUUCCUUGUUUUAUGGUAAUACUACCAUAGAUUCAUAGACUUCUUUUUCUUCAGUUUAUAAAAAAUGCUUACCAUAAAAUUGUGCAAAAAAGCAACACCACAUGUAGAACUCUGAG